CUAUUAUGACCUUCGGCAUGCUUAACACAUGCAAGUCGAACGGCAGCAUGGUCUAGCUUGCUAGACUGAUGGCGAGUGGCGAACGGGUGAGUAACGCGUAGGAAUAUACCUUAAAGUGGGGGACAACUUGGGGAAACUCAAGCUAAUACCGCAUAAUAUCUUAGGAUAAAAGCUGGGGACCUUUUGGCCUAGCGCUUUAAGAUUAGCCUGCGUCCGAUUAGCUAGUUGGUAGGGUAAAGGCCUACCAAGGCGACGAUCGGUAGCUGGUCUGAGAGGAUGAUCAGCCACACUGGAACUGAGACACGGUCCAGACUCCUACGGGAGGCAGCAGUGGGGAAUAUUGGACAAUGGGGGGAACCCUGAUCCAGCAAUGCCGCGUGUGUGAAGAAGGCCUGAGGGUUGUAAAGCACUUUCAGUAGGGAGGAGGGUUGAUUGGUUAAGAGCUGAUUGAUUGGACGUUACCUACAGAAGAAGCACCGGCUAACUCCGUGCCAGCAGCCGCGGUAAUACGGAGGGUGCGAGCGUUAAUCGGAAUUACUGGGCGUAAAGGGUGCGUAGUGGGUUAUUAAGUUAUCUGUGAAAUUCCUGGGCUCAACCUAGGCAGGUCAGAUAAUACUGAUGGACUCGAGUAC
rnacentral:rRNA from 1 species